CCUGGGAAAGCACAGCAGCUGUAUGCCCUCCGUGGGAAUGAGAUGUCCACUUAAUUAAAGCAGGGCAAGGCAGUGGCACCCCAUUCUCCUAGUCCUCAUCACUGAUGGAAUCUAGAUGGCGACUAGCUGGUGUGAGAAUUGACCUGGGAACUCUUUGCCGACUUCCAGCCCCUGUAUGAGCCAUCCUCCAGACAGCACAGGUCAGAAUGGUGCGGGGGUGUGGAGAUCAACCUCAUGAAGGAAAGUGUGGGAUGGAGAGCGAGGCGCCACAAGCUCGCCACAAGCUCCUGCGACUCCUCGAAGCGUCCUCAUUAGAUCUAAGAUGUCUCCCAGAACACCCGUGAGACAGCAGGAAGGAACUGCUUACCCCGGAAGUCCUAACGGCCCAGUUCCUUCUGAGUUACCUCAUCAGGCACAGCUUUCAUUGGGGCACAGUGACAGUGUGGUGAGAUAUGAUUGGCUGAGGAUUUAGGGGCUUGGGAUUGGCUCAAACACUGUAUAUAAGUUUAUGCAUUGUGCAAUAAACUCAGAUCUGCACCCUGA